rnacentral:misc_RNA from 1 species
AAGUCGUAACAAGGUCUCCGUUGGUGAACCAGCGGAGGGAUCAUUACCGAGUUUACAACUCCCAAACCCCUGUGAACAUACCAAUCGUUGCUUCGGCGGGUCUCGCCCCGGCGCUCUCGGGCCCGGACUCAGGCGCCCGCCGGAGGACCCAAACUCUUGUCUUUAUGAGUAUCUUCUGAGUGACACAAGUAAAUGAAUCAAAACUUUCAACAACGGAUCUCUUGGUUCUG